CAGGAAGCCGGGCCGACGCCGUGCGCCGCCCUCCCCGCCGCCUCGGCGAGGCAGGCAGCGCUCCGGUUCCUUCCCGCGCCGGUGGGGAGAGGCCGCGCCUUCACCUGCACCGCCGCCUGCGGACCGGGAGGCGAUCUGCCCCCCCGUCCUCCGUCCCAGGCCCGACUUCCGGGCCCUGCUGGCUCCCUGGGAGCCGAUCCCUUCGCCAGGAGGGGCUAGCCUAAGGUAUUUUUGGCUUGGAGGUGACAGGUUUUGUUCAAGGAGGAAAGUGAAAGUCUUCGGAAUUAGGGAAGCGCGAUGGACAUAUUCAUGGGCCAAUCUGGACCGUGGGCGCACCUCGCAGCAGCACCAUCCAGUUUGCUUUGGAAUUACCUUCCAGCCCUCUCCAGCAAAGCCCAGCCCAGAAAUGGAUCAAGCCCACCCCUGGGAGCUGUUCCUUUGGGAAGCAGGACCUCCCCCCUCCCCAGCCACAGCAGCCAUCAGACAGUUCUUGGAGGGUCAUCACAUGGGCAGCCAGAGAGAGAGGAUGGAUUUUUGCCACAGCCCUGUGACUUUCUCGGAGCUGAAUUUCUACUGCCAACUGCACUCUCCACCCCGCGGGAACCACGGGCCCCCAAACCAGGGCCUACCCUGGUCUGACCAAAGGCAACCAGAUCUGCUGCAGCUGUUCAGAAAGAGAACAAGCUCUCCCAGAGACGGUGGAAGCAGGGAGGGAAAGAUUCUUGCCAGCCUGGGGGUGUAAAUAUUUAUACAACGCGGUAUGUGGGAAGAGGAAAGGCAGAGGGAGGUGCUGAGACCACAGAGUAGGAGCUUGCUCAGGUGGGAAUCAGGUAGAAAGGGCAAGAGGCUACUAGGAUCCUAAUGCCCCCGUCCCCCCACCAAACUGCUAUAUCAGAGAGGCUGAUCUUUGCCCCCAUCCUUCUUUCGAGAGCUAAGAGAAGACCUUAGAAAAAAGUUCACCAUCUUUCCCAUUAGUCCCCUAACCAGAGGCUCUGCCUUCAGCCAGAGAGACAAAGCAGGUCCACAGGGCUCAAGAGUAAGGACCUGUGGGCUCCUGCAGCUUCUGGUUCUAGACUCUUAAAGGAUGCUGGACCCCAAGAGUUGGACUCUAGGGCUGAAGGCUUAGAAAACAGAGGUAAAACAUAAAAUAAGCAAAGAUCUUUCUCAAGCAUCUAUGUCCUCAACGAUAUUUUUCUGAAGUAGCAGUAAUGUUGGACAUGGAUGAAGAUGAAGAGGAACUGAUGGGACCUGGCAGGAGAGCAAGGGGUGGAGAAGGUGAGGGAGCCUUCGAUGGUGCUUCCAGAGCAGCGUAUGGCCCCCAUCGCCACAGGGCUUAGGAAAAGGCAGUGCAGCCCCAUGGACAUCCACCUGGGGAGCACCCCAAGAUGCAGCUCAGCUUCAGGUGCAUAUUGACCCAGGCACUCCUUAUCUAGGCCCGCCAAGAGCUCAGCCAGGCCCCAGUGGCACCAAUGUCCCAGGGUGGGAGACAAGCAUGGGUGGGGGCGGUGGGGGACGGCCAGAUGGACUCCAGUCGAUCUGCCUCAGACAGCUGGGGAGCAGAGCCAGGAUGCGCCUCUUCCCCCUCCCCUGUCACUUCACACAGGAGGGGUGCAGCUGCGACUUCUAGGGUUUCUCUGCCACCGCACCCUUCAAGAAGUGCCACCUGCUUCUAUCAGUAUGGGGCUGACCCUCAGGGCCUCCCACAGGUGAGUCUGUGUUGCAACCACCCUUAAGACACCUUGAAAUGAUCAGCCACUAUUUGCAUUCUCCUUGUGCUCUAAAAAACACCCCCUGGCUGGGCUGGGGGUAUUGGGAGGGUAGGGCCUUCUGCUGGAAGGCUGCCUCAGGUCUUUGGCCAUAGAGCUAGUAUCAUAGCACACCUAGAUUCCCCCAAGAGGCAGCCCCCUAUGCUGCAAGGCCCCCACCCACAGCACAGAGCUUUGCAAGUAAUACAUUCCCAGUGUGUGCAGCGCCUCCCCUGAGCUCCAGCCUUUAGCGUGCAACCUGAUGAAUCCCCCACCUGUCCACUCAGAGAGGAAUGGGACCCAGGCCCACACACCAUGGAGGAAACACCAUCUGCCCCAACCCUCGGCCCCAGCCUGGCAAUGAACGCUCACAGGAGGACAGCCUCACUGUCCCUAAGCCCCCCUCUCCAGAAGCGAGCUCCUCUUCCAGGGAUACCAGGGCUAGAGGAGACUCUUCAGAUGCUCGGGUCCUCUCCUGCCACCAUGGCCCUGCCUGCCGGCUGUGGCCUCCUUCUUGCCAGCACUGCUGAAACAGAUGAGCAAGAAUAAAAGCCUGUGUGGCCCAAGGAAAGCUUUAGGGGAAUGAACUGACGCUGAAGGAAAAGAAGGGGAAGAGGAGAGGAAGGGAGUUCAGGAAACUGACAAAGUAAACCAUCCGGGAAUCCAGAUGUAAAAUAAGGCAGGCCAAAAGAAAAGAAAAAUUAUGCUAAGAAGGCAGAGUCGGGUGGGGAAGGGAAUUGAGAAUGAAAAAGAGGGUGAAUGUUAUAAAUAUUCUGAAAAGGAAGAAGAAUGUGAAAGCAAACAACAUGAGAAAAAAAAAAAAAAAAAAAGACCCAGGAGGGAAAGAGGGGCAGCAAUGAGUUUAAAACUGCUUUCACCCUCAACCAACCACACUCAGUAAUGUUCUGAGUCUUACUGCACUUGUGGAUUUCAGACUCUUCUAACACUGAGCAGAGGAUGCCCUAGAAAACAAGCCUUCCUGUGUGCCCAUGUUUUUCCUAUGAGUCCCCCAGCUCACCCCACCGUUGGUCCUUCUCAGGAGGAGAAGUCAUCUUCCUGGGGCAAGGCUGAAAACCAUUGCCGUUCGCCCCAGAGCCGAGUGGCUUCCAUCAUGGUGCCCUCUGGAGGGCCCACUGGGGAAACUGAGCUGGAGGAGCCCUGGCAUGGAGAAGCACUGGGUGUGAUGCAGCUGUACCAUCAGCUUUUCAUCUUCCAGCUCCACCUGUCUGUCGAUGGACCAGGGCUAGCCCAAGCCUCAGACCCAAGGUGCCUGGAACAGCAGGGGUUCCUGGAAGAUGGCAUACCCAAUUCUGUGCAGAGCCUGAGGAGUCCCAACAAAUGCAACUUUUGGAAACAACUUAGACGAUUUAAAUGCCCUUCCAGGCAUUCCCAAGGGGACUGAAAUAGCUACAGUUUUCUCAUUGCUAAGGUGGCAAACAGCUUAGCUUUUUGAAAUUCACCUUCCAUGCCUCCAAUUCAUGUAUCAGCAAAGAAGGCUUGCAGAAGAUGCUGGUUCCUCUCCCUUUGUCUGCCUGGCCUUUCAGCCUUCGAUUGCCCCUCUUCCUGUGAGUCAGCCAGGGCCUCUCCUCUGUGUCUGCUUAGGUCGCUCGUUUCCCUUACUUCAUCACACCCACCUCUGCCCACUAGUCCAUUUUUCUAUGAGCGCAGCAGGAGUCUGGAGAAAGCUAAAGCAAAAUCGAGAAGCAAAGGAAGUAAGAAAUGCAAGUUUGGUUUAAGCGCCCAGCGUUGGCGUGCCCAGGCUGUCUGGAGGCAGGCUCCUGGUAGACAGGGGUCCGAGCCUCACCAGGCCACCUAAAAAUUCUCUCCCAGAGUUCAGCUGAAGGGAAGCCACACAGCGUGAUGAGGACAAAGGAAACAGUGCCCACACUGGCCCUUCUCCCCAAGAAUUCUUAAAUACUUCACCCUGGUUCUGUACAUUCCAAAAGUCUUAUUUUUUUCUAUAAAAAACCUAAGAGAUGUGGCAAAAUGUACAGCAGGUAUCACGGUAGGUUGUAGCCUUGGAUACUCAACCCAUUUUCUUCUCAUCCCUCCUAACCUUCCAAUCUGCCACAGUCGUAUAAUCUAUGACUCAAACUAUUAUUUAACCGUGAAAAAAAAAAAGACAAACCAGGAAAUUAGAGGCUGAAUGACCUAAAAUUUAUUCCAUUCAACUGAGCUAAUCUCCUAAUAAGGGUGUGUAUAAUAAUAAGUCAUGCUAUAUCUGUUCUGGAAGAUGUGAACAUCGCAGGGAAGAGUGCAUGGUGAUUGCAGAUCCCAACUUGUUGAGAUUUGUCCUCAAAAGGGUAAGUGCCUGGUCCUGGGCCAAGCUGCCGUGCAGUUUGCCAAACAAGUCUUAAUGUUUGCCCGAGUUAGGCCUGACCACUUUCAGAUCCCCGGCACUGCCACCGCCUAGGCAGACAAGGGACUUACCUGCCUUUUCCGUCUCCUCCGCUAUGAAAUGGCAGUGACAGCAAUCCCCAUCUCCUGGGGCUGCUGCUGUGAGGACAGAUGAGCAAGGCGCUUGGCACAUGUGAGCAGCUCCCCUCCCUAAAAGCACCCCCCUAGUCAACUGUUGCUGUAUGUUCUGCAGCGAAUUGGCAAGACCAAGGAGGAGGCUGGAGGCCCCACAAAGUGGGGUUCCACGGAGUCAUUGGAACGCGGUCAAGUAUCCCGAGCAAGAGAGAGAGAAGAGGGUCCCAGAGGAGGCCCAGGCAGCUGGCGGGUGGAGACUGCAGGGAGAGCCAAGGACAGCCACUCACAGCGUGGGUGGGAGGACGCAGGGGGCUGCGCUCCAGUCCUCCCGCAUUAGCUCAACUCGUCAGUGUCCCCACCCUUGCAUGUGUUCAUCCUUCCAUGGACCCCAGCGUGUAGUUACCUAGCACCCACUAUGUGCACCGCACAAGCCAGGCCAAGGGCCAUCGUUGGGGAGCAAGCUUGAGCAGGGAUCACAGGCCUCAGAGAGUUAAUACCCGGGCCUUUCUGCCCAAAUUCAGAGAUCUGUCCUUUUAGGAGCUAGCCUGCGAGGAUAUGACCAAAUGCUGAGAAAUUCUUAUUUCAGGGCCAAUUUUCUUUCUUAAAGUAGAAAGGCAAAGAGUUCAAAAAUGUUCUGGAAAUGUGAAUGCUAACUGAAUCUUGUUAACAUUUAAGGGGUAUUAUUAAUUUUUAGGUGAAAUAAAGACAGUGUGACAAAGUGUAACCAGCCCUUUUCUUUCGAGGUACAUACUAAAAUACUAGCAGAUAAAACAGUGUGCCCUGAUAUAUAGGAUUUACUUCAGUAUGAUAUGGGAGGUGGGGAGGCAGAUGGUGGAGUCAGUGGACAAGCCUGACCAGGAGUUGCCGAUGUUGGUGAUGGGUAUGGGGGAUUCAUCGUACUAUUCUGUCUUCUGUAUAUUUUUGACAUUUUCCAUAAUAAAAUGUCUUAAGUUCAUAAAGGCUGAACCAUCUUAAACUCAGGGAUUCUUGUCUUAUUGGUUCUUGCAACAUGAUAUGUUACUUCCUGAGGACAUGUGCUCUCAGACAAGAGAUGAGGCUAUGGGAGACCUGCCAGGAGUGGGGAGAGCUGGGGAAGAGGCAGGAAGACCACCACCCAGGGGGCAGGAAGGCACCCCAAGCCCACCUCCCCGCACACACAGGAGACCCAAGAGUGGUGUCCCAUCACUCAGGGCCUCCCAGGCUAGGAAGAAACAUUCAAAGAGACUGGUGUUCAUUUGGCACUGCUUUUAAACUCAGUGAAAACUGUUCUUAGGUUGGUUUCAAUGUAUUUUAAAACACAAUGCAUUUUUUCCCCCAGCAGAUAGCGAUUAUAGCAGAGUGGACAACUUCCCUAACCUCAAAUGGAAAAUGAGGUGAAUCAGACGUGCCCCACUUCCAAGAUCGUGAGGCUACAUGAGAUUAAGGUACGUGAAGUGUCUUGGUACUAGUAAGCACUGAUGAAGAAUGGGUAGGAUUUGAGGAGUUAUUGGCAAAUGUCAGUAUUUAGCCUCUCAGGACCCUAGUGGAGGCACCCCAUAUCUUAAGUGUUCUAUUUGAACUGCAGUGGCCUCACUUAAACACUGAAAUUAGUUACAAGUCAAGGCACACAUACUCUGAGACCUCUCUGGCCAAGAAUCCUACUGGGUGUCACAGAAGCCACUGCUGUCCUCUCCCUCUUCAGAAGGGCCUCCUGCUCUGAGAAGAACGGGCCACCUGGAAUGGAGCCCCCACUUCCUCUCUCUUUGAAGAAUUAAUUGAAAAAUGAGGACUAGGGCACUCUGCACUUGGGGGCCGUGGCUUUGAAUGGCAAGAUGGGUCGGUCCUAAGAAGGCAGACGUUCAGCAGUUCAUCUUAUUUCCAAAUACAGGGGCAAGGAGUUCAGGAUACACAGAUGGACAGCAGGCCCUGUGCUCUGCAGCGCUCCCCAGCAGGGAACUCCUGAAACCUUCCCCAGCUGAGUUAUAGGCAAGUGGUCAUGAAGGCCGCCAGACCCCAGGGAGCAGCAGAACACAGUUUCCCAGGUCAGAGGGACGAGGUGCCAAAUGGCUGGGCAAGGUGACCGAACCACUGACACCCUUCUAAGAACAAAAUUAAAUAGCCAUGGCAUCCAGAGGCAGGGAUCCCAGAAGAGGCGGGUGGCCCACAGAGCCAGUUCAUAAGUCUUUGCCACUUGUCCCCAGGCAACUGGUUAAGUGGCUUCCUAGAGACAAGAACCAGUAAGGAGGAGGUGUUCAUGAGGCAAACGGGACUGGAAAGCACAAGGGGACAGAGCAGAAGGCAGUCCUGUUGCUGAGAAAGCAGCCACCCCAAGUCCUUAGAUUCUUGCUCUGUGGCCUCCUACCAAGCGGUGAUAGUGUUUGUCCUAUCCCAAUCUGCUCAUGCCCCAGGCUCUCCUUUAUACCAUUGUCUGCCCAACCUGGCUGCAUGUUCUUUGCACCUUCUUCCCUAGAAGAAACCAGAACGGAGGGAGGUAUCCCUACACAGAAUGUGAACACUCUCAAAAUGUCCUUGGGCAUUCACAGGAUUAUUCUAAACUCUAUGAAAGUGUCCUGGCUCCAGAGAAGAGAGCAAUCUCUGUUGUGAGACCUUGAAGGGGGCGGAAAGUGGGGGGAGGGGAGACUAAGAGCAGAGCACAGCCUUUGGAGCCUCCAUGCCUGAGUUCGAAUUCCAGCUCUGCUACUUAUCAACCCUGUAGCAACGGACAAGGUGCUUAGCCCUCUGAGCCUCAGUCUUCUCUGUGAAAUGAAGAUAACAAGUGGCUCUAUAGGGCAGAGCUAGGGCUUACAAUGAUGGCUAAACAGAAAAGGCCCUCAGUAAACAUCAGCAAGGGUUCCUCCUCAGCCUGGUGGGGAUGCAUUACUGACAGCCCCACGUUUCCUGGAAGAAAUAACUGUGCUACAAGGUGGGAAAGUAUCUGAAGGAAGCGUAAAGUCUUCAUAGAAAGUAGCUCAGGGACAUGCACAGAGUGCUGCAAAUCAGAAGCCCCAAAUAUCUGUGCGUCCUGCCAUCUGAAUGCACCUCCUAGAAGCCACCAGCUUCGGAAGGCUGCCUGGAGGAGGGGCCCUGAGUCUGGAGUAGAAAUGAUACCUAGUAAAAAAAAAAAAAAAAAAAAAAAAAGAAAUGAUACCUAGUGUUGUCUGUGGACAGGUAGAGAAGGAAAGGAAUACCCAGUGGGUGCAGCCCUCCUGUGGCCACUUUGACUUUUGUGCUGGAGAAGCAGAAAACAUCACUUGACUCUAAGCGGGGCUUAUUAAACUUAUCAGCCAGAGACUGAGAGGCAGGCAGGCUGCCCCAUGGGGAACAGGCCCACCUGGCCAGGCCUGGGGAGAGCGAGCCUUGCCCUUGCCGAUGCCAGCCUGCACCAUAGGGUUGGGCUUCCCUGGGAUGGGAAGGAAAGAGUUAAAACGACUCUGGGCUUCAGGAGGGCGGCUCUGCAGCUAUAAACAGUGAGCCAAGGGAGGGAGGGAGCUGACACAGGAUGUGGCCAGGGCUCGAGCUGUCUGAUUAUUAACUUCACUUUUAUUUGGAGGGGGAUUCGAUUCUCUGUUUUACUUCCCAUCAAGGAAGUGAAAGCCCAGGUCUCAGAGGGGCCUGGUUUCAAAUUGUUUUGUCACAGCUCAUUCAUUUUUCCUCUUAAAUAAAUAAACAAAACCACCUCUUUGUUUUCCCCUUAAUGAGCGUUCAGCAAAUCAUCUGUGGGUGAGGCAUGAAAGGGGUUUUCUGGAGUCCUUCAUGAAGCAUUUGGCUUAUUCUUUUAAAAGGAAAAAGGAUUCUUCCUGUAGCUUCAGCCUCCUCCAAGACUCUCCAGGCACUUUCCUUUCUGCAUCCUGUGGGACCUCAGCCCAAAUACCACCUCAAGCCCUGCUUAGACCUUUCUUGGCUGGCCCCUGGGGCCUGACCUGCAGACUGGGCAUCCCUGUCACAGGAUCCCACCCCGAGGCCACACAGGGGAAGCAACAUCCCAGGACUCAGUGGUUAGUCUUCUUGGUCAACUCAGCUCCAUGGUGUUUGUUCCUAUGACACCCUGACAUUUCCACUAAAAAUAACUUAAAGCAAUUAAAAACACAAAAGGAUUCCAUUACAGGGCUUAAGAAAACACCAUUAUAUGUUCCUUUGCCCAAGGUUCAAAACGUUUGAGAACUUUGUUUCCAAAGCCAAAACCCAUUCAAUAAUUUCAUGAUUGUCUGGCAACAACCCUUUACUGAAUGACCUACAUGGGUGAGGUGCUGUUGUCAGGGACACUAAGACCACUGCUAUCUCAUGGUCUCUCCCCUCAAGGUGCCCAUAAUUUAGUGGGGGAAGACAAACACAAGGAAGAAAACAGAGUCCUGUUAGCAAAGGCUAAUGGUACCACCCGUGGGCAGAGAAGGAGGGACAGAGUCUGCUGACAGCAAAGAGAGGGAAACUGAGGAAGGCUUCCUGCUGGAGCUGAUAUAAAGAAUAUUUUAGAAGCUGAAAAAUCCCAAAUGACAAGAGAGAGAGAGUGUGGAUGAGUGAACCAGGUCAGAUGGAAGACAACAGGUGUGGUGUGGCCCGCAGGCCUGAGGCUCCUGGAGGGGCAUUCGGAAUGGCACUGAAAGUCCUCAUGGUGGAGAGGGACGGAGAGGAGACUGGCACUCAGAUUCAGACCCAGGCUGCCGGUCCUUGACCCUUGGCUCGGACACCCGGACACCCGUGUGGCCUGGGGAGGAGCGGCACUCCAUGCUGUGAGCACCAAGACACGCACUUGGCUGCAGCUCGCCUCGGAUCCGAUCCGACUGCAGACCAACACCUGCUGGCCGCAGGAGCCGCUUCACCGCCUCUGUAGGCUCUUCUAACCCCGGGCGAGGAGGAGGAGGUGCGCCGCAAGGGGCCCGCUGCGCUUCGCAGAGGCCUCGGGGGCUGGGGCUGCCCGGGCCCAGGCGCC